UACGGAGGGUGCAGCGUUGUCCGGAAUCACUGGGCGUAAAGGGCGCGUAGGCGGCUCAUGAAGGCUGUGGUGAAAGUCCGGGGCUCAACCUCGGAUCGGCCGUCGAUACUCCCGUGCUUGAGCACUGUAAAGGCAGAUGGAAUUCCGGGUGUAGCGGUGGAAUGCGUAGAGAUCCGGAAGAACACCGGUGGCGAAGGCGGUCUGCUGGGCAGUAGCUGACACUGAGGCGCGACAGCGUGGGGAGCAACAGG
rnacentral:rRNA from 1 species